AGGUCCGCCUGCCAGUGACUUUGUUCACGGCCUCGGUACUCUGACCGAGCGAAGGUAGCAUAAUAACUUGUUCUUUAAAUAGGGACUUGUAUCAACGGCAUCACGAGGGUUAUUCUGUCUCUUUUCUCUAAUCAGUGAACCUGACCUCUUCGUGAAGAGGCGAAGAUAAGACUAUAAGACGAGAAGACCCCAUGGAGCUUAAAACAUAGAGGCACUUUCUUCAUCCCACAACCCUUAAAAAUAAGAAGCUUGCAUGCUAGUUUUUGGCUGGGGUGCCCAAGGAGAAUAGCCCAACCUCCCUGACGAAUAUUAUUUAAGAGCAACAACUCGAAAAAACAAAAAAUUGACGUAGAAUGACCCGACUAAUAGUCGAUCAACGAACCAAGUUACCCUGGGGAUAACAGCGCAAUCCACUUUAAGAGCCCCUAUCGACAAGUGGGUUUACGACCUCGAUGUUGGAUCAGGGUAUCCUAGUGGUGCAGCAGCUACUAAAGGUUUGUUUGUUCAACAAUUAAAACCCUACGUGAUCUGAGUUCAGACCGG
rnacentral:rRNA from 1 species